rnacentral:rRNA from 1 species
AUUGAACGCUGGCGGCAGGCCUAACACAUGCAAGUCGAACGGUAGCAGGAAGAAGCUUGCUUCUUUGCUGACGAGUGGCGGACGGGUGAGUAAUGUCUGGGAAACUGCCUGAUGGAGGGGGAUAACUACUGGAAACGGUAGCUAAUACCGCAUAAUGUCGCAAGACCAAAGAGGGGGACCUUCGGGCCUCUUGCCAUCGGAUGUGCCCAGAUGGGAUUAGCUAGUAGGUGGGGUAACGGCUCACCUAGGCGACGAUCCCUAGCUGGUCUGAGAGGAUGACCAGCCACACUGGAACUGAGACACGGUCCAGACUCCUACGGGAGGCAGCAGUGGGGAAUAUUGCACAAUGGGCGCAAGCCUGAUGCAGCUAUGCCGCGUGUAUGAAGAAGGCCUUCGGGUUGUAAAGUACUUUCAGCGGGGAGGAAGGGAGUAAAGUUAAUACCUUUGCUCAUUGACGUUACCCGCAGAAGAAGCACCGGCUAACUCCGUG